UGGUAUGGCCUUCAUAUAUUUUAUAUUUUACGGCAACCUUGUUAAUUCUUGGUGUGUUGUGUUUCAAAUCUAGCCUGCAUAUUACAACCUUGGGGUGGUCUAUUAUGAGAUGAUGCAAUAUGAUUUGGCUCUUAGCUGGCUACGAGAAAGCUGCACUACAGAGGCCUAUGUAUGCCGAAGCAUAUUGCAACAUGGGUAUUAUAUAUAAAAACCGUGGGGACUUGGAAUCAGCUAUUGUUUGCUACAAGAGGUAGUCCCAUGUGUCUCUAAAUUUUGGGAUUGCCAAGAAUAACAUGGCAAUAGCCUUGACAGAAUUAGGAACAAAGGUAGUCACCGAAUUUUCCAAGAAUCUGUUAGACUUGCACUUUUAAAUAGUUUCAUAGAUUUUGCAGGUUAUCUGGAGCAGAUAGGGAGUGGACUCUUUCAAAGUAAUUCAAACAAAGAAACCUGAAAUUUAUAAAACUCUUUGCCUCUCUCAACAAGCUAGAGAUCCCAGUUCUGUUGCUUGGUCAUGCAUCAUGACAUGCUCUGUGGUUUGCGCCAUGCAUCAUGCAUGCUUAAACAAGGAGUGGAGCAUAGAGGAUUUAUUUAUUUAUUUUUCAUGUAUUCAGACCAUUGUAAACUUAUUGUUGUAAAUAUAUAUAAUUUUUAUUGUAAAGUUGUACAAUAAUUUUGGAGAAA